UACGUAGGGUGCAAGCGUUGUCCGGAAUUAUUGGGCGUAAAGAGCUCGUAGGUGGCCUGUCGCGUCGGCUGUGAAAACUCGGGGCUCAACUCCGAGCUUGCAGUCGAUACGGGCAGGCUAGAGUUCGGCAGGGGAGACUGGAAUUCCUGGUGUAGCGGUGGAAUGCGUAGAUAUUGGGAGGAACACCAGUGGCGAAGGCGGCUCACUGGACCGGUUCUGACGCUGAAGCGCGAAAGCGUGGGGAGCAAACGGG
rnacentral:rRNA from 1 species